CCUACGGGAGGCAGCAGUGGGGAAUAUUGCACAAUGGGGGAAACCCUGAUGCAGCGACGCCGCGUGAGUGAAGAAGUAAUUCGUUACGUAAAGCUCUAUCAGCAGGGAAGAAACACUGACCUUACGGUCAGCAGACGGUACCUGAGUAAGAAGACCCGGCUAACUACGUGCCAGCAGCCGCGGUAAUAAGUAGGGGGCAAGCGUUAUCCGGAUUUACUGGGGGUAAAGGGAGCGUAGACGGUGCGACAAGGAUGGAGUGAAAUGCCGGAGCCUAACUGCGGAACUGCUUUGGAAACUGGCGAACUAGAGUGCGGGAGAGGUAAGCGGAAUGCCUAGUGUAGCGGUGAAAUGCGUAGAUAUUAGGAGGAACACCGGUGGCGAAGGCGGCUUACUGGACCGUAACUGACGUUGAGGCUCGAAAGCGUGGGGAGCAAACAGGAUUAGAUACCCGUGUAGUC
rnacentral:rRNA from 1 species